GUUUUAAUAGUUUAAAUAAAACACCGGUCUUGUAAAUCGGAAUUGAAGAUAUAUUCUUCUUAAAGCA
rnacentral:tRNA from 1 species